CUGCGUAGAGAUGUGCGUUUGUUGCUCACUGAGCUACAUAAGCUGAAAACAACUUGCCAAGACGAUACAGAGGAAGUCGCAAUGGAAGUCCAACAACAAAAAUGCUUUAAUACUGAACCAAAGAAAUCACCUGAUGAAAAUAUUGAUAGAAUCCUUGA
rnacentral:lncRNA from 1 species